rnacentral:lncRNA from 1 species
UUUCUAGAAGCUUGCUGCUGUUGGUUUUCCUGGUACAAACAUGGCUGUUCUCUUCAGAGGAGGAGCUCGGGGCCUCGCUGUCCCUGGGAAUGGCUGGUGUUCUCGUCAGGGGAGCUCUGAUCUUCACCGUGAGUGUCACUUCCUGGCUCCAGUAUAGAUCUGUCAAUCUGGUGUCACAGACCCUUCAUCCCACCACCGACCCUUCUGUCCAACUAAGAAGGUUCAGAGGACCACGGGAAGAACAGAUCUGAGAGGUCUCGUAGCAGGUUCACACAGACUCUUAAUAGGUCAGCAAGGUGCAGAGAAAAAUAGCCUGGACCUGCACAGAAGAGCUGACACCAAGCAAGCAACUGGCUGCAUCCACUGAAUUGUUGAAGGAGAGAAAACAGGAAGGACAGAGAUAUGAGUAACAAAGUAUCUACUAAAAAUGAGUAAGAGACAAGAAGAAACAUCGCCAUCGUGCAGAGGGAAAGAAUGCCUAAACCGGUGCACUCUUCAUGGGAGGAUUCAAAUGAAAACCAAGGACAGCUUCUAUUUAUCAGACUUGAUAAGCAGUUGAAGAUACGUUUCAUAUAUGGCCGGUGGCAGUGCAAUUUGUUCCAGCUCCCAUGGAAAAAUAAGGUUCUGUCUUACCAAAAAUGAAGGGCCAGGGAUUUAACUCAGUGGUUCCAGCACCUGCCUUGCAAGCACAAGGUUCCAAGUUCAAUCCCCAGUACCAAAAAAAAAUAAAAAUAAAAAUAAAAGUUCACAUACUCUUUGACUAAAACAGCUACUGUUGAUAAACUCACCACUGAUUCAAUGAGGCAUGAACAUGAUUAUUUACUAGCAUGUGGUUUGUCAUGGGAAUAGAGACAUUCCC